AUGUGUAUCACAGACUCUCUAACUAAUCUAUUGAUAGAUAAAUGGCAAAUAUUCAAUUGCACUAAAUGCACUAUCAUUCCUGAUGCUUUCUUAUAAUUAUUACAAGUACAAUUAAUCAUUUUAUAGCAUCCUGAAUUUCCAUUGGCAAUCUAUCAAGUGUCCGGAGAGUAUGCAAUGCUGUGGCAUGGAAGUACUGCUGGAGCUUUUAAUUUAAAGACCAUUGUAAUGGAGAGUAUAGAGUCAAUGAGACGUGCUGGUGCUGAUAUAAUAAUCUGCUACUAUACGCCUAAACUGCUGAAGUGGUACAAGCCUGGACGAGAUUAAAGAUGGCAUUCAUAGAACAAUUUUUUUCAAUGACAUAUAUUUCAGUUCUGGUUUAAACUAAAUUUAAAAAUAAUAA